rnacentral:ncRNA from 1 species
AUGCACCUGUGGAGGGCACAGCAUGCAGUAGUAUAGAUUUUGCAGGUAAUCACUGCAUGUACGGUCUAGUAUCCGCUACCUAGCGGAUUUAAGAUUUUCGU